rnacentral:tRNA from 1 species
GCCUGGGUGGCUCAGUCGCUUGAGCAUCUGACUUCAGCUCAGGUCAUGAUGUCACAGCUGGUGGGUUCCAGUCCCACGUCGGGCU